rnacentral:rRNA from 1 species
UACGUAGGGCGCAAGCGUUGUCCGGAAUUAUUGGGCGUAAAGAGCUCGUAGGCGGUUUGUUGCGUCGGCUGUGAAAACCUGAGGCUCAACCUCAGGCCUGCAGUCGAUACGAGCAGACUAGAGUGUUGCAGGGGAGACUGGAAUUCCCGGUGUAGAGGUGAAAUUCGUAGAUAUCGGGAGGAACACCAGUGGCGAAGGCGGCGAUCUGGGAAGAUACUGACGCUGAGGUGCGAAAGCGUGGGGAGCAAACAGG